rfam:Microgenomates (Levybacteria) bacterium GW2011_GWA2_40_16 TT85_C0007, whole genome shotgun sequence.
GGUCGCGUAGUGUAGUGGUUAACACGCGUCCCUGUCAAGGACGAGAUCGCCGGUUCGAGCCCGGUCGCGACCG